UUCCGGUUGAUCCCGCCGGAAGCCACUGCUAUCGGGGUCCGACUAAGCCAUGCGAGUCAAGGGGGUGUCCCUCUGGGACACCACCGGCGGACGGCUCAGUAACACGUCGGUAACCUACCCUCGGGAGGGGGAUAACCCCGGGAAACUGGGGCUAAUCCCCCAUAGGCCUGAGGUACUGGAAGGUCCUCAGGCCGAAAGGGGCUUUUGCCCGCCCGAGGAUGGGCCGGCGGCCGAUUAGGUAGUUGGUGGGGUAACGGCCCACCAAGCCGAAGAUCGGUACGGGCUGUGAGAGCAGGAGCCCGGAGAUGGACACUGAGACACGGGUCCAGGCCCUACGGGGCGCAGCAGGCGCGAAACCUCCGCAAUGCGGGAAACCGCGACGGGGGGACCCCGAGUGCCGUGGCACCGCCACGGCUUUUCCGGAGUGUAAAAAGCUCCGGGAAUAAGGGCUGGGCAAGGCCGGUGGCAGCCGCCGCGGUAAUACCGGCGGCCCGAGUGGUGGCCGCUAUUAUUGGGCCUAAAGCGUCCGUAGCCGGGCCCGUAAGUCCCUGGCGAAAUCCCACGGCUCAACCGUGGGGCUUGCUGGGGAUACUGCGGGCCUUGGGACCGGGAGAGGCGGGGGGUACCCCUGGGGUAGGGGUGAAAUCCUAUAAUCCCAGGGGGACCGCCAGUGGCGAAGGCGCCCCGCUGGAACGGGUCCGACGGUGAGGGGCGAAGGCCAGGGGAGCAAACCGGAUUAGAUACCCGGGUAGUCU
rnacentral:rRNA from 1 species